rnacentral:rRNA from 1 species
AGUAACACGUGGAUAAUCUGCCCUGCACAGGGGGACAACAGCUAGAAAUGGCUGCUAAUACCGCAUAAGCCUACAGCCUCGCAUGAGGGAGUAGGAAAAGAAAUUCGGUGCAGGAUGAGUCCGCGUCUGAUUAGCUAGUUGGAGGGGUAAGAGCCCACCAAGGCAACGAUCAGUAGCCGGCCUGAGAGGGCGACCGGCCACAUUGGGACUGAGACACGGCCCAAACUCCUACGGAAGGCAGCAG